AACGAACGCUGGCGGCAGGCUUAACACAUGCAAGUCGAGCGGGCCCUUCGGGGUCAGCGGCGGACGGGUUAGUAACGCGUGGGAACGUGCCUUCUGCUCUGGAAUAGCCCUGGGAAACUGGGGGUAAUACCGGAUGUGCCCUGAGGGGGAAAGGUUUACCGGCAGGAGAUCGGCCCGCGUCUGAUUAGGUAGUUGGUGGGGUAACGGCCAACCAAGCCGACGAUCGGUAGCUGGUUUGAGAGGAUGAUCAGCAACACUGGGACUGAGACACGGCCCAGAAUCCUACGGGAGGCAGCAGUGGGGAAUCUUAGACAAUGGGGGCAACCCUGAUCUAGCCAUGCCGCGUGGAUGAUGAAGGCCUUAGGGUCGUAAAGUCCUUUCGCCGGGGAAGAUAAUGACGGUACCCGGUAAAGAAGCCCCGGCUAACUCCGUGCCAGCAGCCGCAGUAAAAC
rnacentral:rRNA from 1 species